rfam:Clostridium sp. CAG:7 genomic scaffold, scf334
UGAUACCAGUGUCGAAAGGUAAAAAUCCGACGCAAGCCUGCUUGCAGGAGGAUUUUUUAUCUUGGGACACGCAAAAACAUGAGUAAGUAGCCAUUUUUGCAAAAAAUGAGCGGAUUACUAAUGGUUUUGAAGAUUGCGAGAGCACAAAGUGCGUAGCAAUCUGGUAUCA